rnacentral:rRNA from 1 species
UGGUGACUAUAGCAAGGAGGUCACACCUGUUCCCAUGCCGAACACAGAAGUUAAGCUCCUUAGCGUCGAUGGUAGUCGAACAAUGGCUUGGCGAAGUGAAAACGUUUGAAUC